UACCGCUUUGUACUUACGAUCUUGUAUCCACUAACUGUCUUGUUAGAUUAAUCCAAUAAAUUUUAUUCACUCCGCAUACUCAAUCCUAUAGACACCCUUUUAAUUCUUCAAUCACAGACGUAACUCGAUUUCACAAAAUAGUCAAGAGUAAUCAAAUCCACUUCAUUAAAAAAUCUCGAUUCACCAUUACAACACUGACUUCAGCAACGAUUGCCUCAGUCUUCCCAAAACUCUAUGAAGAAGAAAAAUCCAAUUCUCCGUCUUUU
rnacentral:lncRNA from 1 species